UACGGAGGGUGCAAGCGUUAUCCGGAUUCACUGGGUUUAAAGGGUGCGUAGGUGGGUCUGUAAGUCCGUGGUGAAAUCUCCGAGCUUAACUUGGAAACUGCCAUGGAUACUAUAGGUCUUGAAUACUGUGGAGGUCAGCGGAAUAUGUCAUGUAGCGGUGAAAUGCUUAGAUAUGACAUAGAACACCAAUCGCGAAGGCAGCUGGCUACACAAAUAUUGACACUGAGGCACGAAAGCGUGGGGAUCAAACAGG
rnacentral:rRNA from 1 species